AUUGAACGCUGGCGGCAUGCCUUACACAUGCAAGUCGAACGGUAACAGGUCUUCGGAUGCUGACGAGUGGCGAACGGGUGAGUAAUACAUCGGAACUUGCCUAGUAGUGGGGGAUAACUACUCGAAAGAGUGGCUAAUACCGCAUGAGAUCUACGGAUGAAAGCAGGGGAUCGCAAGACCUUGUGCUACUAGAGCGGCCGAUGGCAGAUUAGGUAGUUGGUGGGAUAAAAGCUUACCAAGCCGACGAUCUGUAGCUGGUCUGAGAGGACGAUCAGCCGCACUUGGACUGGGACACGGCCCAGACGCCUACGGGAGGCAGCAGUGGGGAAUUUUGGCCAAUGGGCGAAAGCCUGAUCCAGCAAUGCCGCGUGCAGGAUGAAGGCCUUCGGGUUGUAAACUGCUUUUGUACGGAACGAAAAGCCCCGGGUUAAUACCCUGGGGUCAUGACGGUACCGUAAGAAUAAGCACCGGCUAACUACGUGCCAGCCGCCGCGGUAA
rnacentral:rRNA from 1 species